CCUACGGGAGGCUGCAGUGGGGAAUAUUGGACAAUGGGCGAAAGCCUGAUCCAGCCAUGCCGCGUGUGUGAAGAAGGCCUUCGGGUUGUAAAGCACUUUCAGUGGGGAAGAAAGCCUUGGGGCUAAUACCCUCGAGGAAGGACAUCACCCACAGAAGAAGCACCGGCUAACUCCGUGCCAGCAGCCGCGGUAAUACGGAGGGUGCGAGCGUUAAUCGGAAUUACUGGGCGUAAAGCGCGCGUAGGCGGUCUGAUAAGCCGGUUGUGAAAGCCCCGGGCUCAACCUGGGAACGGCAUCCGGAACUGUGAGGCUAGGGGGCAGGAGAGGAGGGUAGAAUUCCCGGGGUAGCGGGGAAAUGGGGAAAGAUCGGGAGGAAUCCCAGUGGCAAAGGGGGCCUUCUGGACUGACACUGACGCUGGGGUGCGAAAGCGUGGGUAGCAAACAGGAUUAGAUACCCCAGUAGUC
rnacentral:rRNA from 1 species